CUACGGAGGGUGCAAGCGUUGUUCGGAAUCACUGGGCGUAAAGGGCGUGCAGGCGGUUUGUUUAGUCAGAUGUGAAAGCCCACGGCUCAACCGUGGAAGUGCAUUUGAAACUGGCAGACUUGAGUAUCAGAGGGGAAAGUGGAAUUCCCGGUGUAGAGGUGAAAUUCGUAGAUAUCGGGAGGAAUACCGGUGGCGAAGGCGACUUUCUGGCUAGAUACUGACGCUGAGGCGCGAAAGCGUGGGGAGCAAACAGGAUUAGAAACCCCUGUAGUCC
rnacentral:rRNA from 1 species